AUGCUCAUUUGGUAGCACAUAUACUAAAAUUGGAAUGAUACAGAGAUUAGCAUGGCCCCUGCGCAAGGAUGACACACAAAUUUGUGACGCAUUCCAUAUAUUU
ensembl:snRNA U6 U6 spliceosomal RNA